CCUACGGGUGGCAGCAGUGGGGAAUAUUGGACAAUGGGCGAAAGCCUGAUCCAGCCAUGCCGCGUGUGUGAAGAAGGCCUUCGGGUUGUAAAGCACUUUCAGUGGGGAAGAAAGCCUUGGGGCUAAUACCCUCGAGGAAGGACAUCACCCACAGAAGAAGCACCGGCUAACUCCGUGCCAGCAGCCGCGGUAAUACGGAGGGUGCGAGCGUUAAUCGGAAUUACUGGGCGUAAAGCGCGCGUAGGCGGUCUGAUAAGCCGGUUGUGAAAGCCCCGGGCUCAACCUGGGAACGGCAUCCGGAACUGUCAGGCUAGAGUGCAGGAGAGGAAGGUGGAAUUCCCGGUGUAGCGGUGAAAUGCGUAGAGAUCGGGAGGAAUACCAGUGGCGAAGGCGGCCUUCUGGACUGACACUGACGCUGAGGUGCGAAAGCGUGGGUAGCAAACAGGAUUAGAUACCCUAGUAGUC
rnacentral:rRNA from 1 species